rnacentral:lncRNA from 1 species
CCCAGGGACUGUUGGCCACCAGCCCAUGAGAACAAAGGAAACAGAGUUGAAGGCCAGGGUUCUGAUUGCCCAUGAGUACAACAGAAAUGACUACCAGGAUAAGCUUCAAAGAAGCAGCUCAAUGUUCAUUGAGAUGAAUCAAGGGCUAUAUAGAUUUUGGGGAAGGGGGUAGGAAUUUCAAGGGGCCCAACACUUGAGAGAUGUUAAACAUCAGUCUUUGAUAGAAUCGUGAAGAAGUUGCUAUUAAUAUGAGGGAAGUACUGCUGCAGCAACAGCAUGGAUGAACUUGCCAGCAAGAGUGAAGACAGGAUUGGAAAGUCAAGAAGGAAAGAGGGUUCUGCGGGAAAGUCUGGACCACUUUCACUGUGCACACGUGUGUCUUCAUCUGUGUAGCUUGUCCUGCUGGAAACCAUUUCCUUCCAUUUUAUAGAUAUCCCGAGGUUUCGCCAAUAGAAAGCACCAGCGACUUAUAGUCUGUCGAGUGGAGACUGAUAUAUGGUAAGUGAUUUACAAAAUGCUGC